ACGAAGGGGGCUAGCGUUACUCGGAAUUACUGGGCGUAAAGGGCGCGUAGGCGGCCCGGUCAGUCAGGCGUGAAAUUCCUGGGCUUAACCUGGGGACUGCGCUUGAUACUGUCGGGCUUGAGGCCGAGAGAGGGUGGUGGAAUUCCCAGUGUAGAGGUGAAAUUCGUAGAUAUUGGGAAGAACACCGGUGGCGAAGGCGACCACCUGGCUCGGUACUGACGCUGAGGCGCGACAGCGUGGGGAGCAAACAGGAUUAGAUACCCUGGUAGUCCACGCCGUAAACGAUGUGUGCUGGAUGUUGGGGCUCCUAGAGUCUCAGUGUCGUAGCUAACGCGGUAAGCACACCGCCUGGGGAGUACGGCCGCAAGGUUG
rnacentral:rRNA from 1 species